rnacentral:rRNA from 1 species
AACGUAGGGGGCGAGCGUUGCCCGGAUUCACUGGGCGUAAAGCGGGUGUAGGCGGUUCUUUAAGUCGGAUGUGAAAUCCUACGGCUCAACCGUGGAACUGCAUCCGAUACUGGGGAACUUGAGGACGGUAGAGGUCGGUGGAAUUCCAGGUGUAGCGGUGAAAUGGGCAGAUAUCUGGAGGAACACCAGUGGCGAAGGCGGCCGACUGGGACGAUCCUGACGCUGAGACCCGAAAGCCAGGGGAGCGAACCGG